rnacentral:rRNA from 1 species
CUGAGCGGCGGACGGGUGAGUAACGCGUGGGUAACCUGCCUCAUACAGGGGAUAACAGUUAGGAAUGACUGCUAAUACCGCAUAAGACCACGGUACCGCAUGGUACAGUGGUAAAAACUCCGGUGGUAUGAGAUGGACCCGCGUCUGAUUAGGUAGUUGGUGGGGUAACGGCCCACCAAAGCGACGAUCAGUAGCCGGCCUGAGAGGGUGAACGGCCACAUUGGGACUGAGACACGGCCCAA